GGGCUAUGGCGUGUGCUCGGUGGGGCUGGAGCGGCUUGCUUACCUCCUCAUGGCUUACAGCCUGGGCGCCUCAGUCGCCUCACUCCUGGGCCUGCUGGGCUUGUGGCUGCCACGCCCGGUGCCCCUCGUGGCUGGAGCAGGGGUGCACCUGCUGCUCACCUUCAUCCCCUUUUUCUGGGCCCCUGUGCCUCGGGUCCUUCAACACAGCUGGAUCCUCUGUGUGGCAGCCACCCUUUGGGGUGUGGGCAGCACCCUGAACAAGACUGGACUCAGCACACUCCUGGGAGUCUUGUACGAAGACAAGGAGAGACAGGACUUCAUCUUCACCAUCUACCACUGGUGGCAGGCUGUGGCCAUCUUCACUGUGUACCUGGGCUCGAGCCUGCACAUGAAGGCUAAGCUGGCGGUGCUGCUGGUGACGCUGGUGGCGGCCGCGGUCUCCUACCUGCGGAUGGAGCAGAAGCUGCGGCGGGGCGUGCGCCAGCCCCGCAUCCCGUGGCCCCAGCACAAGGUGCGCAGUUACCGCUACUUGGAGGAGGACAACUCGGACGAGAGCGACGCGGAGGGCGAGCAUGGGGACGGCGCGGAGGAGGAGGCGCCGCCCGCGGGGACCAGGCCUGGUCCCGAGCAGGCUGGACUCGGCCGCCGGCCCUGCCCGUAGGAACAGGCGCAGGGGGGCGACUGGCCAGAGGAGCAGUGAGGGGCCGCCUGGUCCACGGACUCAGCCUCCCUCCUCGCCGGCCUUAGUUUACCACUUCUUAGGUCGGGGGGACCCCCUCCGAGUCCCGCGCUGUCUUCAAAGGCCCCUGUCUCCCGUCCCCCACGUUGGGGACGCCCCUCCCAGAGCCCAGGUCACCUCCGGGCUUCCGCAGCCCCCUCCAAGGCGGAGUGGAGCUUUGGGAACCCCUCGGCCAAGCACAGCGGUUCGAAAAUACAGCUGAAACCCAGCGGGCCCUUAGCACGCGCCCCAGCGCCGGAGCAGGGUCAGGGUCUUCUUGCGACCCGGCUCCGCUCCAGAUCCCCCCAGCUCUCGGCGGCGGACCCGGGCCGCGUGUGAGCGCGCUUUGCACCUCCUAUCCCCAGGGUCCGCCGAGAGCCACGAUUUUUUACAGAAAAUGAGCAAUAAAGAGAUUUUGUACUGUC
ensembl:lncRNA novel transcript